rnacentral:rRNA from 1 species
UACGGAGGGUGCAAGCGUUAAUCGGAAUUACUGGGCGUAAAGCGCGCGCAGGCGGUCUGCCAAGUCGGAUGUGAAAUCCCCGGGCUUAACCUGGGAACUGCAUCCGAAACUGGCAGGCUAGAGUCUUGUAGAGGGGGGUAGAAUUCCAUGUGUAGCGGUGAAAUGCGUAGAGAUAUGGAGGAACACCAGUGGCGAAGGCGACUUUCUGGACGAUUACUGACGCUGAGGCGCGAAAGCGUGGGGAGCAAACAGG